CAGCCGCCGCGGUAAAACGGAGGGUGCAAGCGUUAAUCGGAAUUACUGGGCGUAAAGCGCACGCAGGCGGUUUGUUAAGUCAGAUGUGAAAUCCCCGAGCUUAACUUGGGAACUGCAUUUGAAACUGGCAAGCUAGAGUCUUGUAGAGGGGGGUAGAAUUCCAGGUGUAGCGGUGAAAUGCGUAGAGAUCUGGAGGAAUACCGGUGGCGAAGGCGGCCCCCUGGACAAAGACUGACGCUCAGGUGCGAAAGCGUGGGGAGCAAACAGGAUUAGAUACCCCAGUAGUCCCUGUCUCUUAUAU
rnacentral:rRNA from 1 species